rnacentral:rRNA from 1 species
AAUCCAUAGGUUAAUGAGGCGAACCGGGGGAACUGAAACAUCUAAGUACCCCGAGGAAAAGAAAUCAACCGAGAUUCCCCCAGUAGCGGCGAGCGAACGGGGAGGAGCCCAGAGCCUGAAUCAGCAUGUGUGUUAGUGGAAGCGUCUGGAAAGGCGCGCGAUACAGGGUGACAGCCCCGUACACAAAAGCGCAUGUGCUGUGAGCUCGAUGAGUAGGGCGGGACACGUGGUAUCCUGUCUGAAUAUGGGGGGACCAUCCUCCAAGGCUAAAUACUCCUGACUGACCGAUAGUGAACCAGUACCGUGAGGGAAAGGCGAAAAGAACCCCGGCGAGGGGAGUGAAAAAGAACCUGAAACCGUGUACGUACAAGCAGUGGGAGCACCCUUUGGGUGUGACUGCGUACCUUUUGUAUAAUGGGUCAGCGACUUAUAUUCUGUAGCAAGGUUAACCGAAUAGGGGAGCCGGAGGGAAACCGAGUCUUAACCGGGCGUUAAGUUGCAGGGUAUAGACCCGAAACCCGGUGAUCUAGCCAUGGGCAGGUUGAAGGUUGGGUAACACUAACUGGAGGACCGAACCGACUAAUGUUGAAAAAUUAGCGGAUGACCUGUGGCUGGGGGUGAAAGGCCAAUCAAACCGGGAGAUAGCUGGUUCUCCCCGAAAGCUAUUUAGGUAGCGCCUCGUGAAUUCAUCUCCGGGGGUAGAGCACUGUUUCGGCUAGGGGGCCAUCCCGGCUUACCAACCCGAUGCAAACUGCGAAUACCGGAGAAUGUUAUCACGGGAGACACACGGCGGGUGCUAACGUCCGUCGUGAAGAGGGAAACAACCCAGACCGCCAGCUAAGGUCCCAAAGUCAUGGUUAAGUGGGAAACGAUGUGGGAAGGCCCAGACAGCCAGGAUGUUGGCUUAGAAGCAGCCAUCAUUUAAAGAAAGCGUAAUAGCUCACUGGUCGAGUCGGCCUGCGCGGAAGAUGUAACGGGGCUAAACCAUGCACCGAAGCUGCGGCAGCGACACUGUGUGUUGUUGGGUAGGGGAGCGUUCUGUAAGCCUGUGAAGGUGUGUCGUGAGGCAUGCUGGAGGUAUCAGAAGUGCGAAUGCUGACAUAAGUAACGAUAAAGCGGGUGAAAAGCCCGCUCGCCGGAAGACCAAGGGUUCCUGUCCAACGUUAAUCGGGGCAGGGUGAGUCGACCCCUAAGGCGAGGCCGAAAGGCGUAGUCGAUGGGAAACGGGUUAAUAUUCCCGUACUUGGUGUUACUGCGAAGGGGGGACGGAGAAGGCUAUGUUGGCCGGGCGACGGUUGUCCCGGUUUAAGCGUGUAGGUGUGUGUUCCAGGUAAAUCCGGUUCACUUUAACACUGAGGCGUGACGACGAGGCACUACGGUGCUGAAGCAACAAAUGCCCUGCUUCCAGGAAAAGCCUCUAAGCAUCAGGUAACAUCAAAUCGUACCCCAAACCGACACAGGUGGUCAGGUAGAGAAUACCAAGGCGCUUGAGAGAACUCGGGUGAAGGAACUAGGCAAAAUGGUGCCGUAACUUCGGGAGAAGGCACGCUGACACGUAGGUGAAGUGAUUUACUCAUGGAGCUGAAGUCAGUCGAAGAUACCAGCUGGCUGCAACUGUUUAUUAAAAACACAGCACUGUGCAAACACGAAAGUGGACGUAUACGGUGUGACGCCUGCCCGGUGCCGGAAGGUUAAUUGAUGGGGUCAGCGCAAGCGAAGCUCCUGAUCGAAGCCCCGGUAAACGGCGGCCGUAACUAUAACGGUCCUAAGGUAGCGAAAUUCCUUGUCGGGUAAGUUCCGACCUGCACGAAUGGCGUAAUGAUGGCCAGGCUGUCUCCACCCGAGACUCAGUGAAAUUGAACUCGCUGUGAAGAUGCAGUGUACCCGCGGCAAGACGGAAAGACCCCGUGAACCUUUACUAUAGCUUGACACUGAACAUUGAGCCUUGAUGUGUAGGAUAGGUGGGAGGCUUUGAAGUGUGGACGCCAGUCUGCAUGGAGCCGACCUUGAAAUACCACCCUUUAAUGUUUGAUGUUCUAACGUGGACCCGUUACCCGGGUUGCGGACAGUGUCUGGUGGGUAGUUUGACUGGGGCGGUCUCCUCCUAAAGAGUAACGGAGGAGCACGAAGGUUGGCUAAUCCUGGUCGGACAUCAGGAGGUUAGUGCAAUGGCAUAAGCCAGCUUGACUGCGAGCGUGACGGCGCGAGCAGGUGCGAAAGCAGGUCAUAGUGAUCCGGUGGUUCUGAAUGGAAGGGCCAUCGCUCAACGGAUAAAAGGUACUCCGGGGAUAACAGGCUGAUACCGCCCAAGAGUUCAUAUCGACGGCGGUGUUUGGCACCUCGAUGUCGGCUCAUCACAUCCUGGGGCUGAAGUAGGUCCCAAGGGUAUGGCUGUUCGCCAUUUAAAGUGGUACGCGAGCUGGGUUUAGAACGUCGUGAGACAGUUCGGUCCCUAUCUGCCGUGGGCGCUGGAGAACUGAGGGGGGCUGCUCCUAGUACGAGAGGACCGGAGUGGACGCAUCACUGGUGUUCGGGUUGUCAUGCCAAUGGCACUGCCCGGUAGCUAAAUGCGGAAGAGAUAAGUGCUGAAAGCAUCUAAGCACGAAACUUGCCCCGAGAUGAGUUCUCCCUGAGACUUAGAGUCUCCUGAAGGAACGUUGAAGACGACGACGUUGAUAGGC